GGCCGGUCCGCCUUGCGCAACCACAUCUAAGUCCUCUGGAACGAGGCGCUUGAAAGGGUGACAGCCCCGUGGAUGUGUGUUGUGCUUGGCCCCUGGUCUGCCGACGAGUCGAGUUGUUUGGGAAUGCAGCUCUAAGUGGGUGGUAAAUUCCAUCUAAAGCUAAAUACCGGCGAGAGACCGAUAGCGAACAAGUACAGUAAUGGAAAGAUGAAAAGCACUUUGAAAAGAGAGUGAAACAGUACGUGAAAUUGUUGAAAGGGAAGGGCUUGCAGGUAGA
rnacentral:rRNA from 1 species